UGAAUUUUCAAAUCUGGGAAU
rnacentral:piRNA from 1 species